ensembl:processed_transcript
UGAAGUAGAGAAGAUAUGACAGAAGCUGAGAUAUAUGAUUUUGUUGCCAAAUGGUCUCGCUACAUUCUGCUCUGCAUCUGGAUUUUUGAUAUCGUCCUGAUAUUCAUCAUAUAUCACUUGAAAACAAAUUUUAGUAUCAGGAUUGAAAAUUACCUGAACAGACACCAACAAGAGGACAGUGUCGACAACAGAGCAAGCGGCUCUACAAAGGUUGCCACAGCUGAAUGAACCGCCAACUAUUCUAGCAUAUGUUUUACACAGCGGAUUCCCUUCCAGCCAUAACCCAGUCCUGGGAAACACCCACACACAAACUCAUACAACACAGCCAAUUUAGCUUAUUCACUUCACACCAAACCCAUGCCAACACGGAACAUACAAACGCCACACAGAAAUGCCAACUAACCCAGCCAGGACUCAAACCAGCAACCCUCUUGCUGUGAGGCAACAGUGCUAACCACUGAGCCACCAUGCCGCCCUGUAGUAUAGUUUUUAAAGCAAAUAUUUCUGACUGACAUCCACAUGCAUGAUCUUUUUUGAUGCUAAAAGUGUUGAUGACUGCUAAUGAUAUUGUCAUUUAUUUAUAACCAUUCAGUGCAUUGUAUUUAAAGUUCAGGCUACGUAUUAUCACA